rnacentral:rRNA from 1 species
AGCUCGAUUAUGGCUCAGAUUGAACGCUGGCGGGAUGUUUCUACAAUACGCAAGUCGAACGGCAGCACGGACUUCGGUCUGGUGGGCGAGUGGCGAACGGGUGAGUAAUGUAUCGGAACGUGCCUAGUAGCGGGGAUAACUACGCGAAAAGGCGAAGCAUACCGCAUACAGGCCCUUCGGGGGAAGCGGGGACCUUUCGGGCCUCGCACUAUUAGAGCGGCCGAUAUCGGAUUAGCUAGUUGGUGGGGUAACGGCUCACCAAGGCGACGAUCCGUAGUUGGCUUUGAGAGACGACCAGCUCACACCGGGACUGAGACACGGCCCAGACUCCUACGGAGGCAGCAGGGAAUUUUGGACAAUGGGGAAACCCCUGAUCCAGCCAAUCCCCGCGUGUGUUACGAAGGCCUUCAGUUGUAAAGCACUUUUGGCAGGAAAGAAACGGCAUCGGAUAAUACCCCGUGCAACUGACGGUACCUGCAGAAUAAGCACCGGCUAACCUCAUGCCAGCAGCCGCGGUAAUACGUAGGUGCAAGCGUUAAUCGGAAUUACUGGGCGUAAAGCGUGCGCAGGUUCGGAAAGAAAGAUGAACCCCAGAGCUUAACUUUGGAACUGCAUUUUUAACUACCGAGCUAGGAGUGUGUCAGAGGGAGGUGAAUUCCGCGUGUAGCAGUGGAAUGCGUAGAUAUGCGGAGGAACAAUUGAUGGCGAAGGCAGCCUCCUGGGAUAACACCGGACGCUCAUGCACGAAAGCGUGGGAGCAAACAGGAUUAGAUACCCUGGUAGUCCACGCUCCAACGAUGUCAACUAGCUGUUAGCCUCGCCCGGUAGCGCAGCUGAUCAUGUGAAGUUGCACCGCCUGGGAGCAUGGUCGCAAGAUUAAAACUCAAAGGAAUUGACGGGGACCCGCACAAGCGGUGGAUGAUGUGGAUUAAUUCGAUGAAUCAAGAAAAACCUACCUACCCUUGACAUGUCUGGAAUCCCGAAGAGAUUCUGGGAGUGCUCGCAAGAGAACCGGAACACAGGGGUGCCGCAUGGCUGUCGUCAGCUCGUGUCGCAGAUGCUGGGUUAAGUCCCGCAACGAGUGUAACCCUUGUCAUUAGUUGCUACGAGUGCAUGUAAGCACUCUAAUGAGACUGCUGUGACAAACCGGAGGAAGGUGGGGAUGACGUCAAGUCCUCUUCAUGGCCCUCUGCGGCAGGGCUUCACGUCAUACAAUGGUCGGGACAGAGGAUCGCCAACCCGCGAGGGGAGCCAAUCCUAGAAACCCGAUCGUGGUCCGGAUCGCAGUCUGCAACUCGACUGCGUAGUCGGAAUCGCUAGUAAUCGCGGAUCAGCAUGUCGCGGUGAAUACGUUCCUGGUCUCUGUACACACCGCCCGUCACACCAUGGGAGUGGGUUUUACCAGAAGUAGUUAGCCUAACCGUAAGGAGGGCGAUUACCACGGUAGGAUUCAGACUGGGGUGAAGUCGUAACAAGGUAG